GACGAACGCUGGCGGCGUGCCUAAUACAUGCAAGUUGAGCGCUGAAGGUUGGUACUUGUACCAACUGGAUGAGCAGCGAACGGGUGAGUAACGCGUGGGGAAUCUGCCUUUGAGCGGGGGACAACAUUUGGAAACGAAUGCUAAUACCGCAUAAAAACUUUAAACACAAUUUUUAAGUUUGAAAGAUGCAAUUGCAUCACUCAAAGAUGAUCCCGCGUUGUAUUAGCUAGUUGGUGAGGUAAAGGCUCACCAAGGCGAUGAUACAUAGCCGACCUGAGAGGGCGAUCGGCCACAUUGAGACUGAGACACGGCUCAAAAGCCUACGGGAGGCAGCAGUAGGGAAUCUUUGGCAAUGGACGAAAGUCUGACCGAGCAACGCCGCGGGAGUGAAGAAGGUUUUCGGAUCGCAAAACUCUGUUGGUAGAGAAGAGCGUUGGUGAGGGUGGAAAGCUCAUAAAGUGACGGUAACUACCCAGAAAGGGACGGCUAACUACGUG
rnacentral:rRNA from 1 species